CCUACGGGUGGCUGCAGUGGGGAAUAUUGGACAAUGGGGGCAACCCUGAUCCAGCCAUGCCGCGUGUGUGAAGAAGGCCCUCGGGUUGUAAAGCACUUUCAGUGAGGAAGAACGCCUGGUGGUUAAUACCCAUCAGGAAAGACAUCACUCUCAGAAGAAGCACCGGCUAACUCCGUGCCAGCAGCCGCGGUAAUACGGAGGGUGCGAGCGUUAAUCGGAAUUACUGGGCGUAAAGCGCGCGUAGGUGGCUUGAUAAGCCGGUUGUGAAAGCCCCGGGCUCAACCUGGGAACGGCAUCCGGAACUGUCAAGCUAGAGUGCAGGAGAGGAAGGUAGAAUUCCCGGUGUAGCGGUGAAAUGCGUAGAGAUCGGGAGGAAUACCAGUGGCGAAGGCGGCCUUCUGGACUGACACUGACACUGAGGUGCGAAAGCGUGGGUAGCAAACAGGAUUAGAUACCCUAGUAGUC
rnacentral:rRNA from 1 species